GUGUGUGUGUGUGUGUGUGUGUGUGUGUGUGUGUGUGUGUGUGUGUGUGUGUGUGUUCUUGUACUUGCUACAUGGUGAGUACCAUUUUCUGCAUUUAACUAUCAAUGUGAGGACAUUUUUACAAAGUGAGGACAUUUUGGCCGGUCCUCACUUUGAAACAACCAUGUUUGAGGGUGAAGACUUGUUUUUAGAGAACAGGUAUGAAUUGAGGUUUGGUUAGGGUUAGGGUAAGGAUUAAGUUUAGGCAAUCAGUUGUGAUAGUUAAGGUUAGGGUAAGGCUCUAGGAAAUGCAUUACAUCUAUGGAUGUCCUCACUAAGAUAGAAGUACAAACGUGUGUGUGUGUGUGUGUGUGUGUGUGUGUGUGUGUGUGUGUGUGUGUG